rnacentral:sRNA from 1 species
UCGCAGCGCCGCGACGUUACACUAAAA